rnacentral:lncRNA from 1 species
ACGACAACCUAGCACUGUGUGGAAACUCGGCUUGUUCUUGACACCAGCUGAAAUGACUAAUGAUUCCGCCUCAACCACAGAAGGCAUUCAGCCCUUCUAAGAUUGAUCAUGAAACUUCUUACUCAAAUUUUGCUUCAUUGAAAUCAUUUUACCUUUUCAUGUAUAUUGCCAAAGAAAAUUAUUCUACCAGGUAUACUCAGAAAAUACAGUGACUGCUACUGCUGAAUGCCAUCCAAUAGAAAAGCAGGGAUCUUCAAUAUGAGAAGUGGCACAGCAACCUUUAGUAAAACCGUGUGACAAGCUUCAACUUGUUUGGUGCAGAUGAUGGGCUAUGAGCGAUGUUUGAGAGCAGCAUCUUGUUUAUUGGGCAAUUCCAGGUCCUUUCCUGGCUGGACGCAGCCCUUGGUCACUCAG